rnacentral:tmRNA from 1 species
GGGGGCGUAUGGUUUCGACAGGGAAGUGAUUCUUCAAUCUGCGCGCCGAGGACCCGCCGGCCUCGUAAAAAGCGGGAAUUCAAAAUUAAACGGCAACAACGAAAGUUUUGCUCUCGCUGCCUGACAGCGAGCCUCUUAACCUGCUGCUUCUGACUCGGCAGGGGUAGGGGUCACCCAAGUCAGAUCAUUCCGGCGGAACGCCCGUGACCGUUUGGAAGACAUUUUAUCCGGGUCUGGCAGCUUUUUACCUGUGUCUGCAAGGUUGGAGCUGCCGGGAUCAAAUGCAGAAUACGCGCGUAGAAGAUUGUCUGAAUGCUUUUUUGGACAGGGGUUCGAUACCCCUCGCCUCCACCA